GACGAACGCUGGCGGCGUGCUUAACACAUGCAAGUCGAACGGACAGGCCCUGCUUUUGUGGGGUGCUCGAGUGGCGAACGGGUGAGUAACACGUGAGUAACCUGCCCUUGACUUUGGGAUAACUUCAGGAAACUGGGGCUCAUACCGCAUAGGAGCUCCUGCUGCAUGGUGUGGGUUGGAAAGUUUCGGCGGUUGGGGAUGGACUCGCGGCUUAUCAGCUUGUUGGUGUGGUAGUGGCAUACGAAGUCUUUGACGGGUAGCCGGCCUGAGAGGGUGGACGGCGACAUGGGGACUGAGAUACGGCCCAGAAGGGUACGGGAGGCAGCAGUGGGGAGUAUUGCACAAUGGGGGGAAGCCUGAUGCAGCGACGCCGCGUGCGGGAUGACGGCCUACGGGGGGUAAACCGCUGUCGCCGGAGACGAAGCGGGAGUGACGGUAAUGGGUAAAGAAGCACCGGCUAACUACGUG
rnacentral:rRNA from 1 species